CAGAGGGUGCGAGCGUUGUCCGGAAUCACUGGGCGUAAAGGGCGCGUAGGCGGUUUUGUAAGUUGGGGGUGAAAUGCUGCGGCUCAACCGCAGUGCUGCCCUCAAGACUGCAAGACUUGAGCACGGUAGAGGCGGAUGGAAUUCCCGGUGUAGCGGUGGAAUGCGUAGAGAUCGGGAAGAACACCAAUGGCGAAGGCAGUCCGCUGGGCCGUUGCUGACGCUGAGGCGCGACAGCGUGGGGAGCAAACAGGAUUAGAUACCCUGGUAGUCCACGCCGUAAACGAUGGGCACUAGGCGUCGGGGGGAGCGACCCUCCCGGUGCCGUCGCUAACGCAGUAAGUGCCCCGCCUGGGGAGUACGGCCGCAAGGUUG
rnacentral:rRNA from 1 species